rnacentral:miRNA from 1 species
UCUUCCCAACCCCUCCCAUGCC